rnacentral:lncRNA from 1 species
AUUGUAACUAUCUUUUCCUUCAAACAUUUGAGAAAGCUUAGAGAAUCCGCUCAGCUGCCUUUUCCCCCAAUGUUCUCUUUUCCUUCUUUUAACUGCAAAAAUGAAGUAUGUUCCACACUUUGUUUGGCAGAACAAACUCGAAAAAUCAGUGUUGUUACCGACAGACUUACAUAUUGCAUGAGAGAUUCUGGACGUAUUUAUGCUAACUAAAUUCAGGAAAAUCCCAAAAGCAUGAUAAUUUUGUAGCCUGGUAUAAGCCUCGUUUCAGCCCUCAUGGUGCAUCUCGAAGCCCUACAAUCAAGACCAAAACAUCACUCCAUACUAAAAUCUCUAAACACCAGUUCAUCUAACUAAUCGAGCAAGUAGCAGUCCUGCACUAAAACGCCUAAACACCAGUUUAGUUAUCUAUAUUAUACACAUAUCUGCUACUACAAAAUCUAAAAAAUGAGAAACUGGACCCUCAGCAACAUUGUCCAACGCACACUGCAUGUGGUCUCGGAACCUUGAACCAGGCAAGGAAAGAAGCAAAGCACUUUGUUUUUCUAGAUUCUGUAAAAAAAAUACUUAAGGAGGGUGUAGCUAAGCGGAACAACAAAGAUAAAUAUUUCAAAAAUAUACCCACAGAAUAACUUGGCAUAGGAUAAGAUCUUGCAUGCGAAGCUGGUUUUAGAGACAGAGAAGACUAUGCCUAAUACCCACAGAACUGCUCUAGUAAAUUGCCUAUUGUCUAUCACUACUAACAACACUAUCGGUCAAUUAAGUUACUUCAUCCCAUUAUAAUUGAACAAAAUAAGGAUAAAUAUGCACUUCAAGCCGUCUCAGUCUUUUCUCAAACAAAUAACAUCAGGAUCAUCAUCAGUAAGAAGUGCACACAAAAGUCAUGCCUCAUCAGUUGAUAAAUAAUGAAGCAAUAAUCAGAAUAUAUAAAAUGGGAAUAAAAAUAAAUGGCAGAAAUCAUCCAUCAACAGAGCUAAAAUGGGACGGGAGUGACAUGAGUAUGCUAGAUUGACACUAAAUAGAAAUCUAUAAGCAUGGACACUACUGUAUUAAAAGAAAAUAACAGAAAAAUAUAGAAAUGGUUAAUAUGCUAAUGUUUUCGCCAUAAGAACAAGAAAGGUGUAACAUGAGUAAGGAUCUACGUUAUAAAUGUAUACACUAUACAACUCUAAAAAUAAUUUUAGAAAACUUUCAGUGUCCAACUAUCGGUAUACUUGUUUUCCUCUACAGAGAAGAAAAUUAGAUAGCAAGCUUUCGGUGUCCACCUCAUGUUACCAAGUGAAGUAAACUUUUGCCGUCCAGGUUGGUUGUUAAGUUACUCAUGAAUCGAAUAUAGCUAUAUGAUAACAUUAUCACCUCUUAUUUCAAUUGGUGCAUGUACCCGAGGUCAGAUGCAUGCCUUUGAUUCCUCCCAUAGUUUUUUGUCCGGUCGAUUAGAAUAGUCGCAAGCAUAGCUAAGAACUAACCUAUAGUGGGAGCGAGGUUUGCUAGAAUGCCCUGGCCUAGUGGCAUGCUUGAAUGCUAUGCUGACUGGUGGUGUAAGUUUAGGAAUUAGUUUACUUCUUUAACAAAAUAGGAAAGGCGUGGUUAUAUCAGAGAAAUCAAUGCAAGAAAUUAAAUUGCUUUCCAGGGAACCACUAUUUAAAUUUCCAUACAGAAGUCUAAUCUUCAAUUUGCUUGUAUCUUUAGGACAAAAAUAACUGCAGCUACGAAUCAUCAUCUGUACAUAGGUCCCAAAAAAAGAUAUGAAUCUGGUAACAGAAAUACCUUGCAAUAUCUCUAAUGCAUACUUCAAAUAACAAAUUUCUUCGUCUGGUAACAGAAAUACCUUGCAAUAUCUCUAGUGCAUACUUCAAAUAACAAAUUUCUUCCUUAGUCAUGCAAGUAUCCACAAAGCACUUUCCUUGACGAUGAGCAACCUUACUAACAAUCCUACAAAUAUUGAUUAAAGGAGGAGAAACAAAUAGCAAAAACUUUUAGAUAUUGACAUAGGCAUAGCUUGCGAUGAUUACGAAAUGAGAUAAAAAUGGGAGUGGCCAACUAUUUGUUCUUACACUGAGCAGACCGCCUCAACACAUCAUCAAAGCUACCUUACACCAAGAUAACAUGGAGAUAAAUGUGAAUUGACAGAAACUGAAAUGUUCUGUGAGGAAUAGAAACAGCAGGCUGCUUAUGUAAGAAAAGACCGACAUGCCUAUUUAAAAAUAGACCAGAUAGUAGACAGAUCGUCCAUAUGCACUCAC